rnacentral:rRNA from 1 species
CUUUUGUAACCACUGUCUUUGUGAGCUAGAGGCAUAAUCAUAAUAGACUGUACUCAUAUCACAUAAAAGAACCGAAGUGAAUACAAAUAAAAGACCAAAAUAGUGACGUAACAUAGUAAAAAUCGUCGGUAUAGUUGUAGUUCACAAACCAAUUACGAUAACGUACCACGUACUUAUGUCUUGUACACGAACACAGUAAAGAGAAACAAUAAAAGACCUGCGUACAGUCUAUUUAACCGAUUUUACCCGUACAGGUGUAAGAACACCACCGUCGACAAACCGUACUAAGGGUCGAGUUUUUUAAGAUGCACGACCUCGACCGCCAUAUAUAAUUCCCGCAACUGUACUCGGAAGAAAUAAGUACAAUCUGACUUUUAAAUACGAAUUCCACGGGGUACACCUACAGAAAGUUGUACAAAGUAGAUAGGAGUUCCUCAUACCUAAAACGGGAUGACCUCUAGGGUACCUGUGACAUUUGGAGGUCGGAAUACUCACGUCUUUCAGUUUGCCUCUCAGUACGUUUCCCGAAUUUUUACGUUUGUGCCGUCAAUGCCUUAACCGGUUAGACCUACGACGUCUCCUUUUCCAGUGUUGGCAACCUUUACUGUUGGAGAGGGAAUACCGUGCCGUCGUGUGGUUUUUUUGUGUCCGACACUCUUUCUUUCGUCCGCCUCCUACCCUAGGGUGUAUAUGUUUCUCUUCAAAGAAGGGUAUGACCUCUAGUCACAAUGUUCUAGUCCAAGGAAACUUCCACAUAGGUCGGAUACGUUCGAGUCUAGGAUCAGGUUUAGUAUUUGAACCAGGUUACGCUUCCUGGAGCGGUAAAUGUUCGUUGUUAGUUGGGUCUUCCACGAAACAGUGACGACGAUAACCACGUAAGUCCGAGAACUUCCACGAUUUUAUCUCAUCUUUCCUCCGAGUUGAAGAAACGCUAUUAACCCGAGGAGAGGUGCCGCAGUAAGCCUUACUACGAACUGAACUAUCGGCGACUCGUAGUGAAAGGAUACAGGGAUUCGUCAUAAUAAUAUACAUCAAAACAUUCCUCGCCGCACCGGUGGUACUUCCAUAUUCAACCCAUCUACGUUCACCGCGGUACCUCAUAGGAUACUUACCACACCAACCGACGUGGCCGCGCCGCGAUCGCAAGUUCUGUUCCUUCUGUGUCCACUCUGUCCUGCUAUGACUGCCACUCUGGCCUGUUAAAGCGGGAUUUUUUUCCCGCUUCACCCUAAAAUGGUCAAAUCGAGAUGGUGUACCGUUAUCUUUUCAUUAUGACAUUACGUCCAUCUCUUUACCUUCUUACGUUCGUAUUUAGUGUUCGAAUGUAACGUGUCAUGAUCCUACAGAACUACAUUAAAUAUGAUCAUAAUGAGAAUGUGUCGAUUAAGCUUUUGUAUGACAUUUGGUAUCCAAUAAUGACUUACUUUCUAGCACCUAC